rnacentral:rRNA from 1 species
AAAGCAGGCGGCAGCUACCAUGCAGUCGAACGGUGAAGCCAAGCUUGCUUGGUGGAUCAGUGGCGAACGGGUGAGUAACACGUGAGCAACCUGCCCUGGACUCUGGGAUAAGCGCUGGAAACGGCGUCUAAUACUGGAUAUGAGCUCUCAUCGCAUGGUGGGGGUUGGAAAGAUUUUUCGGUCUGGGAUGGGCUCGCGGCCUAUCAGCUUGUUGGUGAGGUAAUGGCUCACCAAGGCGUCGACGGGUAGCCGGCCUGAGAGGGUGACCGGCCACACUGGGACUGAGACACGGCCCAGACUCCUACGGGAGGCAGCAGUGGGGAAUAUUGCACAAUGGGCGGAAGCCUGAUGCAGCAACGCCGCGUGAGGGAUGACGGCCUUCGGGUUGUAAACCUCUUUUAGCAGGGAAGAAGCGAGAGUGACGGUACCUGCAGAAAAAGCGCCGGCUAACUACGUGCCAGCAGCCGCGGUAAUACGUAGGGCGCAAGCGUUAUCCGGAAUUAUUGGGCGUAAAGAGCUCGUAGGCGGUUUGUCGCGUCUGCUGUGAAAUCCCGAGGCUCAACCUCGGGCCUGCAGUGGGUACGGGCAGACUAGAGUGCGGUAGGGGAGAUUGGAAUUCCUGGUGUAGCGGUGGAAUGCGCAGAUAUCAGGAGGAACACCGAUGGCGAAGGCAGAUCUCUGGGCCGUAACUGACGCUGAGGAGCGAAAGGGUGGGGAGCAAACAGGCUUAGAUACCCUGGUAGUCCACCCCGUAAACGUUGGGAACUAGUUGUGGGGACCAUUCCACGGUUUCCGUGACGCAGCUAACGCAUUAAGUUCCCCGCCUGGGGAGUACGGCCGCAAGGCUAAAACUCAAAGGAAUUGACGGGGACCCGCACAAGCGGCGGAGCAUGCGGAUUAAUUCGAUGCAACGCGAAGAACCUUACCAAGGCUUGACAUACACCACAACACCGUAGAAAUACGGGACUCUUUGGACACUGUGAACAGUGUGCAUGAUGUCGUCAGCUCGUGUCGUGAGAUGUUGGUUAGUCCGCAACGAGCGCAACCCUCGUUCUAUGUUGCCAGCACGUCAUGUGGGAACCUCAU